GUGGGGAAUAUUGGACAAUGGGCGAAAGCCUGAUCCAGCCAUGCCGCGUGUGUGAAGAAGGUCUUCGGAUUGUAAAGCACUUUAAGUUGGGAGGAAGGGCAGUAAGUUAAUACCUUGCUGUUUUGACGUUACCGAUAGAAUAAGCACCGGCUAACUUCGUGCCAGCAGCCGCGGUAAUACGAAGGGUGCAAGCGUUAAUCGGAAUUACUGGGCGUAAAGCGCGCGUAGGUGGUUUUGUAAGUUGGAGGUGAAAUCCCCGGGCUCAACCUGGGAACUGCCUCCAAAACUGCAUGACUAGAGUACGGUAGAGGGUAGUGGAAUUUCCUGUGUAGCGGUGAAAUGCGUAGAUAUAGGAAGGAACACCAGUGGCGAAGGCGACUACCUGGACUGAUACUGACACUGAGGUGCGAAAGCGUGGGGAGCAAACAGGAUUAGAAACCCUUGUAGUCC
rnacentral:rRNA from 1 species